rnacentral:rRNA from 1 species
GGGUGCGGAACGCGUAUGGAACCUGCCCCUGUCAGAGGAAUAGCGCAUGGAAACGUGGAUUAAUGCCUCAUGGUAUUGUGAAGUUGCAUGAUUUUACAAUUAAAGAUUUAUCGGACAGGGAUGGCCAUGCGUAUCAUUAGCUAGUUGGGGAGGUAACGGCUCACCAAGGCGACGAUGAUUAGGGGCCCUGAGAGGGGGAUCCCCCACACUGGUACUGAGACACGGACCAGACUCCUACGGGAGGCAGCAGUGAGGAAUAUUGGACAAUGGUCGGAAGACUGAUCCAGCCAUGCCCGCGUGCAGGAAGACGGCCCUAACGGGUUGUAAACUGCUUUUCUACAGGAAGAAAGGUUCCCUUGCGAGGGAGAUUGACGGUACUGUAGGAAUAAGGACCGGCUAACUCCGUGCCAGCAGCCGCGGUAAUACGGAGGGUCCGAGCGUUAUCCGGAAUCAUUGGGUUUAAAGGGUCCGUAGGUGGGGUUCUAAGUCAGAGGUGAAAGGUUGCAGCUCAACUGUAGAAUUGCCUUUGAUACUGGAGCUCUUGAGUUAUGUUGCUGUGGCCGCGAACAUGUGGUGUAGCGGUGAAAUGCCUAGAUAUCACCAUAAGAACACCGAUUGCGAAGACAGGUCACAAAGCAUACUCUGACUGUGAGGGACAAAAGUGUGGGGAGCGAACGGGAUUAGAUACCCCGGUAGUCCACGCCGUAAACGAUGGAUACUAGCUUGUUGGGUAUUCGGACUCGCUGCCCAAGCGAAAGUGAUAAGUAUCCCACCUGGGGAGUACGUUCGCAAGAAUGCAACUCAAAGGAAUUGACGGGGGCCACAACAAGCGGUGGAGCAUGUGGUUUAAUUCGAUGAUACGCGAGGAACCUUAGCAGGGCUUAAAUGGGAGAUGACCGGGUCAGAGACGACUCUUUCGUCAGACAUCUUUCAAGGUCAUGCAUGGUUGUCAGUCAGCUCGUGCAGUGAGCUGUCAGAUUAAGUCCUAUAACGAGUGCAACCCCUGCCGUUAGUUCCAGCGAAUCAAGUCGGGUACUCUAACGGACUGCCGGUCAAACCGAGAGGAAGGUGGGACGACUGUCAAAUCAUCGCGGCCCUUACGUCCUGGGCAACACACGUGCUACAAUGGUCGGUACAAUGGGAAGCCACCCCGUGAGGGGGCGCGGAUCUUAAAAGCCGAUCACAGUUCGGAUCGGGGUCUGCAACUCGACCCCGUGAAGCUGAAUCGCUAGU